AGUCCGGAGGUGUCAAGACACGCUGAAUUGCAAAUUCAGAGUGGCUGAGUGAAAUCAGCCCGGACUU
rnacentral:tRNA from 1 species